rnacentral:rRNA from 1 species
GACGUAGGGCGCGAGCGUUGUCCGGAUUUAUUGGGCGUAAAGAGCUCGUAGGCGGCUUGUCGCGUCGUUCGUGAAAACCUGCAGCUCAACUGCAGGCUUGCGGUCGAUACGGGCAGGCUAGAGUUCGGUAGGGGAGACUGGAAUUCCUGGUGUAGCGGUGAAAUGCGCAGAUAUCGAGAGGAACACCUGCGGCGAAGGCGGGUUGCUGGGCUGACACUGACGCUGAAGCGCGAAAGCUAGGGGAGCGAACGGG